rnacentral:tRNA from 1 species
GAUGAGGUCGGUUAAAUUAAGCCAUUGGGUUCAUGCCCCGAGUAUGGGAGAAACUCCCCUUCAUUU